GUGGGUAUAGCUCAGUGGCAGAGCGUAUGCUCAGCUUGCAAUGAGGACCUGGGUUCAAUCCCCAGUACUGCCA
rnacentral:tRNA from 1 species